UUAUUCAAUGGAAAACAAAUUGUGGCGCAGAUAUUUAAUGAAGCCAUAAUCAAUAUCGCAAAAAAAAUAAUCCAAGCCCGAAAACAAAACACCAUGAAGGGUAAGAGCGCACUACCGAUAAAUCUAAGACCCUGUCAAGGGUAUAAAGAAUAGCGCUUGAAACUUUUCCCUUUACCUCGAUGUGUAUGUUGUGCUGGAUUGUAUUUACGAAUGUAUGUGAGUUUGCAUUUCCUGCCUGCAUUUUCAGACAUUGAAUUGGAAUAACAUUAUCGCACAGCAUCAUUGAACACCAGACCCAACUCCCAACGAAAAUCUGAAUACGAUUAUUGAGCUAAUCAUAAGAACGCUAAUGGAACUUAUUGGCAAUGUAUGAAGUUUGAUGUUUUUGCCAUGUUUCAAUUAGGAUAUGAGCAAAUCUUGGUCGUCUACUCGCACAUCGAACAAAGGGCAUAGAUUCUUUGACUUUGGAAUUUAUGUGACUAAUUGCAAAGCAUUUGACAAAUAAGAAGUUUAACUAUAGAUGCAACACAUUACCGUCAUAUUGAUCCUAUGUGGACAUUGAUAAGAAGUUCUAGGGUGCAUAUAGUAUUCAACGUGAUCAUAGUAAUAAUAAAUUAAUAAUACGCAAGGCUCACCGAAAUAAUUAUGCAAAAAUGUAUCUAGAGACGUAUGCGAAAUGUCUUUAAAUGAUAAUAUAAU